UACGAGGGGGGCGAGCGUUGUUCGGAAUUAUUGGGCGUAAAGGGUGCGUAGGCGGUUUUGUAAGUCUUAUGUGAAAUCUAUGGGCUCAACUCAUAGACUGCAUGAGAAACUGCAGGGCUUGAGUAUGGGAGAGGUGAGUGGAAUUCCUGGUGUAGCGGUGAAAUGCGUAGAUAUCAGGAGGAACACCUGUGGCGAAAGCGGCUCACUGGACCAUAACUGACGCUGAUGCACGAAAAGCUAGGGGAGCAAACAGG
rnacentral:rRNA from 1 species